AGGUCUGUAUUUGAAAGUGCUCCAGUCUAGUCCAGUCCAGUUAAAAAUACUGAUGCGCUACUCUACUCCGCCCAUACACAGAGGCAGCAGAAAUUUCAAUUUUCUGCAGAAACUGGCUGGUACUACCAAGAUUUCAUAAAUUGCAACAACGAAAAGCAGACAAAGAGUUUCUUUGUCUCUGUCUUCGUGGUAUGUGAGGUGUACACCGAAGAAAUUCCAUCGAAAGCAUGAAUCCUUUGUUGGAGGACCUCCAAGAGGACGCUUUGCGGUGAAAGGGGUAAAAAAAUCAUCAAAGUGGAAGACAUGUUAAAGAAGGAUACUUGGAGAGAAAAAUCAACCUUACUUUGCGUUGAAUAGAGUCAGAGAACAACAAUACAAGUACAGAACAUGAAAGCAUGGAUGAAGAUGUUUUAGAAGAUUAAUGAAUAAUGAUGAUGAAAUUUGAGGUUUUCACCAGUCUACUUUGGACCUCUUGUAAGCAUAUACCUGAAUGGAAGAUGAUACAACAUUUCCUCCCCUCCAACUAUGCUGAGAGGACUUGAAUUCUGGAGACUUUUCCAGUCUGCUUGGAACUUCCAAAGCAUAUACCUGAAAGGAAGAUGAUUCAGCGUCCCCUGGCACCAACUUCGGUGAGAGAACUUGGAUCAGACACGGCAAAUAUUCUGGGGCAGAAACAGGAACUUUUAAUUCUUCAAGAAUUCUGUCGGCAGGUAGGGAAGUACCAAUAUCAACCCGAGUGUUGGUCUCUUCUUGAAGAGGUAAUAUUUUAUAGGCCAUUGCCCUGUAGAACUUUGUAAAUACUAAAGUUGAAUCUCUUUUUUCUUCCCUGGAUGGUUAUGAAAUAUCCACUUGAUCAAAUUGUUAGGUAAAGAGUGGUCGAAGCAGCUGCUUUUGUGCAUGUUGAUAAUGCUAUUUUCAUGCGCCAGCAUAAAAAAUUCAGAAUGAUGAAAUUCUGAGUCUUUCUUUUUUGGACUCCUGUUCAGUUGAAAAUUAGAUAACAUGACAAGGAAGGGUUCUUCUAACUUCUACUCUCCUGUACACCACAGCAAUUUCCAUGAAAUUCCUUAGCACUGGAAGAGUUUAGAGAAAAAAUACUGCCUGCAAUUUUAGUCGUGAAUUUGGACAUCCUAUGCUGACUAUCAAUCCAGUAUUUUCAAGCCGACUUAAAAUAGCAAAGAAUACCAACCGAGUGAGGAGACAAGUAGCCAAAAAGAGCCAAAAAUGCCAAAUCAUUAGGAUACCAUUCUCUGGUUUCGUGGUCCCACUCUUGAGCAUCUCCUCAUUUUUCUCAUCCGUGACCCGCAAGAAUUAAUAUAACUCAGUCAAACCAAAUAGCAAGUGAGACAUCAAUUAUAAUUGAAUUUUACUGUUUGUAUUUUUUUAAUUCAUAUAUAAGUAUAUGAUCUACUUGUAUUUUUU